AUUGAACGCUGGCGGCAUGCCUUACACAUGCAAGUCGAACGGCAGCACGGGAGUAAUCCUGGUGGCGAGUGGCGAACGGGUGAGUAAAGCAUCGGAACGUGCCCAGUCGUGGGGGAUAACGUAGCGAAAGCUACGCUAAUACCGCAUACGAUCUGUGGAUGAAAGCGGGGGACGGUAAGGCCUCGCGCGAUUGGAGCGGCCGAUGUCGGAUUAGGUAGUUGGUGAGGGAAAGGCUGACCAAGCCGACGAUCUGUAGCUGGUCUGAGAGGACGACCAGCCACACUGGGACUGAGACACGGACCAGACUCCUACGGGAGGCAGCAGUGGGGAAUUUUGGACAAUGGGCGCAAGCCUGAUCCAGCAAUGCCGCGUGCAGGAUGAAGGCCUUCGGGUUGUAAACUGCUUUUGUACGGAGCGAAAAGGCUUCCACUAAUACUGGGGGCUCAUGACGGUACCGUAAGAAUAAGCACCGGCUAACUACGUG
rnacentral:rRNA from 1 species